AAAGUGAUAAAUGCCGAAAAGCCGAAAUGCCGAAAUCCUGGCAUUUCGAGGACUUGUGAGCAAGCGAACGCUCACUAGUUAGUUAGAAUCGAUGAGACGAUGAUCGAGAACGAUGGAAACGGUAAGAAUGUGAUUUUUGGCGUUCUUGGUAAGUUGGGCCUCGAGGGGCCGAAGUGGGGCCCAUUGGGCUUUCGGGCCCAUUUGGGUAAAAUUGGUAGAAAAUGGAAAUAUGUUAAAUUGCAUGUUAAGACUGUUAAUACUGUUAUGGAUAUAGGCUAAAU
rnacentral:lncRNA from 1 species